GGGACGAACGCUGGCGGCGUGCUUAACACAUGCAAGUCGAGCGGUAAGGCCUUUCGGGGUACACGAGCGGCGAACGGGUGAGUAACACGUGGGUGAUCUGCCCUGCACUUCGGGAUAAGCCUGGGAAGCUGGGUCUAAUACCGGAUAUGACCUCCUAUCGCAUGGUGGGUGGUGGAAAGAUUUAUCGGUGCAGGAUGGGCCCGCGGCCUAUCAGCUUGUUGGUGGGGUAAUGGCCUACCAAGGCGACGACGGGUAGCCGACCUGAGAGGGUGACCGGCCACACUGGGACUGAGACACGGCCCAGACUCCUACGGGAGGCAGCAGUGGGGAAUAUUGCACAAUGGGCGAAAGCCUGAUGCAGCGACGCCGCGUGAGGAUGACGGCCUCGGUUGUAAACCUCUUCAGCAGGACGAAGCGCAAGUGACGGUACCUGCAGAAGAAGCACCGGCUAACUACGUGCCAGCAGCCGC
rnacentral:rRNA from 1 species